rnacentral:rRNA from 1 species
AUGGAUUGGCCCGCUCUCACCUGCUACACUGUGGUCCUGAUCAUUCUCUUCCUGCCAUUGCGGGCGUCCGACGACCGGCUUGUCCCUGGUGAGCGGCUCUUCCCUGGCACGACCAUCAUCUCCGAUGACGGUGCCUUCGCCUUGGGCUUCUUCAACCCCUCCAACUCCACUCCGGCCAGCCUGUACUUGGGCAUAUGGUACAACGGCAUACCGGAGCUCACUGUUGUGUGGGUCGCCAACAGGGAGACGUCCGUCACCAACAGCACUUCGUCUGCGCCGACACUCUCCCUCACCAACACCUCCAACCUCGUUCUCUCUGAUGGUAGCAGCGGCCGUGUCGUUUGGACGACUGAUGUGGCCGAUGCCUCAAGCUCCAUUGCAGCAGCAGCAGUGCUUGAGAACACCGGCAACCUCGUCGUCCGGUCACCGAAUGGCACCAUGCUGUGGCAGAGCUUCGACCACCUCACCGACACGUUCCUUCCUGAAAUGAAGAUACGGAUCAGCUAUGCCACGCGCGGCACCGGCAUCCGCCUGGUGUCCUGGAAGGGGCCCGACGACCCAUCAUCGGGGCGCUUCUCCUACGGAGGCGACCCGGACACGCUCCUCCAGUUAUUCCUCUGGGAUGGGGCCCGCCCGCUAGCCCGUAGAGGGCCAUGGACAGGGUACCUGGUGAAAGGCAAGCACCAAUACCAGCAGGUUAACGGCAGCUUGUCCGUCAUCAUCUACAUGGCCAUCGUCGACAACGAGGAGGAGAUCUACACCACUUACACAGUCUCUGCUGGCGCGCCACGCACGAGGUAUGUGGUGACCUACUCUGGAGAUUACCAGCUCCAGAGCUGGAGUACCAAUUCCUCAUCAUGGGUUAUCCUCGCCAAGUGGCCAUCCCUUGAGUGCAACCGGUAUGGCUUCUGUGGUCCGUAUGGCUACUGUGACCAGACAGCAACGCCCAUGCCGACAUGCAAGUGCCUUGAUGGCUUCGAGCCAGCAAGCACUGAUGAGUGGGCGGCUGGUAGGUUCUCGGCAGGGUGCCAGCGAAAGGAGGCAUUGCACGGAUGCGGUGACGGCUUCUUGGCCUUGAUGGAGAUGAAAGCGCCAGACAAGUUCAUGUUUGCUGGAGGGAACAUGAGCACAAUGGAGGAGUGUGCGGCGCACUGCACCCGCAAUUGCUCCUGUGUGGCGCACGCAUUCGCCAACCUGGACAGUGGCAGGUCUGGAGGAAACGUGACAAGGUGCUUGGUGUGGGCGGGGGAGUUGAUUGACACUGGGAAGUUCGGCGAAGGACUUGGCAGCACCACAUUAUAUCUCCGGCUUGCAGGCUUAGAUGCAGCAUCUGGUGCCAAAUUUUCUCCCUAUUUCUUGUUAUUUUGUCUAUACCAACACACUGUCAUGAUUAGAUCAUUCACUUGCCUUUUUAUGGUAUUUGUGCAUUGCACAGGUAAGAAGACAAAGAGCACUGCAGCUAUCAUUGUACUGGCAGUUUUAGGAACGGCUGUUGUGGCAGUCCUAUGCAUUUUUGUGGCAUGGCUAAAAUUCAAAGGCAAGAACACAAAGUGGAGAAAACACAAGACGCGUACAUUUGAUGGUAUAAGUACCUCUUAUGAACCAGGGGAAGGAAACUCUCCACAUGAUCAUGAAUUUCCAUUUGUAAGUUUCGAGGAAAUUUCUCUAGCAACAAACAAUUUCUCUGAGACAUGUAUGAUUGGACAGGGAGGAUUUGGAAAGGUCUACAAGGUAUUAUUAGGUGGGCAAGAAGUUGCUGUCAAGAGGCUAAGUAGUGAUUCUCAACAAGGAACAAAGGAAUUCAGGAAUGAAGUAAUUUUAAUUGCCAAAUUGCAACACAGAAACUUGGUUCGACUUCUCGGAUGUUGUGGGGAGGGAGAUGAAAAGUUGCUGAUCUAUGAGUAUCUUCCUAACAAAAGCUUAGAUGCUACCCUUUUUGAUGAUUCAAGAAGAAUGAUGUUGGAUUGGACAUCACGGUUUAAUAUAAUCAAAGGGGUUGCAAAGGGACUUCUGUAUCUCCACCAAGAUUCAAGACUAACUAUAAUUCAUAGGGAUCUCAAAGCCGGAAAUGUUUUGCUAGAUGCAGAGAUGAAACCGAAGAUAGCAGACUUCGGUAUGGCGAGGAUCUUUGGAAAUAACCAACAAGAUGCAAGCACCCAACGUGUUGUGGGAACAUAUGGAUACAUGGCCCCAGAAUAUGCAAUGGAAGGUGUCUUCUCCACCAAGUCCGAUGUCUACAGCUUUGGUGUGCUAGUACUUGAGGUUGUGACUGGUAUAAAAAGAAGCUCCAAUAGUCACAUCAUGGGCUUCCCGAGCCUCAUUGUGUAUUCAUGGAAUAUGUGGAGGGAAGGAAAGACAGAGGAUUUGGUGGACACAUAUAUCAUGGAUACUUGUUCACUGGAUGAAGUUUUGAUUUGCAUCCAUGUAGCACUCAUGUGUGUCCAGGACAAUCCAGAUGACAGGCCACUCAUGUCGUCCGUUGUGUUCGUCCUAGAGAACGGAAGCAGCACACUUCCACCCCCUACUUGCCCUGCCUACUUUACACGACGAAGUGCAGAAAUGGAGCAAAUUAGAGAUGAUAUCCUGAACUCCAGGACCAGUUUUACUCUCACUGAGAUUGAGGGUAGAUGA